rfam:Hordeum vulgare subsp. vulgare, WGS project CAJW01000000 data, contig: morex_contig_60318
AACUUACUCCCUCCGUCCGGAAUUAAUUGUCGCAAAAAGAUAGAAUUGAAUGUAUCUAGAAUUAAAAUACAUCUAGAUAUAUCUAUUUUUCGGACAAGUAUUUCCGGAUGGAGGGAGUAUGUA